AGGCACCUAUCAAGCUCGAGAUUCCAUGCUGUAAAACGAUCCGCCGAACUGAAACAUCUUAAUCUGAUAAUAUACCUGUCAGGAGAUGAUGCAGUUACUGCUGCUUCUUCCAGGAUUGAGAAAUUGGACCAAAGAAUACUGUUACCUCUUGCUUCUUGCAAUUCUGACUCCUUUAAUGCUUAUCCAAACUGCUCUUCAUUAAGCUUCAGAGCACCUUUUCUGCCAAAGUCAAAUUUAACAGAGAUGUUGAAAAAUCUUAACUUUUGCCGCUUUUGAAUACAAGCAAACUUGCAGUGAA